rnacentral:rRNA from 1 species
CCAGCAUUAGUUGGGCGACUCUAAGGGGACUGCCGGUGAUAAGCCGAGAGGAAGUGGGGAUGACGUCAAGUCCUCAUGGCCCUUACGGGCUGGGCUACACACGUGCUACAAUGGUGGUGACAGUGGGCAGCGAGCACGCGAGUGUGAGCUAAUCUCCAAAAGCCAUCUCAGUUCGGAUUGCACUCUGCAACUCGAGUGCAUGAAGUUGGAAUCGCUAGUAAUCGCGGAUCAGCAUGCCGCGGUGAAUACGUUCCCGGGCCUU